AGAGUUUGAUCCUGGCUCAGGACGAACGCUGGCGGCGUGCUUAACACAUGCAAGUCGAGCGGUAAGGCUCCUUCGGGAGUACACGAGCGGCGAACGGGUGAGUAACACGUGAGUAAUCUGCCCUUCACUUCGGGAUAACCACCGGAAACGGUGGCUAAUACCGGAUACGACCAGUCUUCGCAUGAGGUGCUGGUGGAAAGUCUUUUCGGUGAAGGAUGUGCUCGCGGCCUAUCAGCUUGUUGGUGAGGUAAUGGCUCACCAAGGCUUCGACGGGUAGCCGGCCUGAGAGGGUGACCGGCCACACUGGGACUGAGACACGGCCCAGACUCCUACGGGAGGCAGCAGUGGGGAAUAUUGGACAAUGGGCGAAAGCCUGAUCCAGCAACGCCGCGUGAGGGAUGACGGCCUUCGGGUUGUAAACCUCUUUCAGUACCGACGAAGCGCCCUGUCGGGUGGUGACGGUAGGUACAGAAGAAGGACCGGCCAACUACGUGCCAGCAGCCGCGGUAAUACGUAGGGUCCGAGCGUUGUCCGGAAUUAUUGGGCGUAAAGGGCUCGUAGGCGGUUUGUCGCGUCGGGAGUGAAAUCUUACAGCUUAACUGUGAACUUGCUUCCGAUACGGGCAGACUUGAGGCAUUCAGGGGAGAACGGAAUUCCUGGUGUAGCGGUGAAAUGCGCAGAUAUCAGGAGGAACACCGGUGGCGAAGGCGGUUCUCUGGGAAUGUACUGACGCUGAGGAGCGAAAGUGUGGGGAGCGAACAGGAUUAGAUACCCUAGUAGUCC
rnacentral:rRNA from 1 species